rnacentral:rRNA from 1 species
UACGAAGGGGGCUAGCGUUGCUCGGAAUCACUGGGCGUAAAGGGCGCGUAGGCGGCCAUUCAAGUCGGGGGUGAAAGCCUGUGGCUCAACCACAGAAUUGCCUUCGAUACUGUUUGGCUUGAGUAUGGUAGAGGUCAGUGGAACUGCGAGUGUAGAGGUGAAAUUCGCAGAUAUUCGCAAGAACACCAGUGGCGAAGGCGGCUGACUGGACCAUUACUGACGCUGAGGCGCGAAAGCGUGGGGAGCAAACAGG